rnacentral:rRNA from 1 species
GAACUGAAGAGUUUGAUCAUGGCUCAGAUUGAACGCUGGCGGCAGGCCUAACACAUGCAAGUCGAGCGGAUGAAGGGAGCUUGCUCCUGGAUUCAGCGGCGGACGGGUGAGUAAUGCCUAGGAAUCUGCCUGGUAGUGGGGGAUAACGUCCGGAAACGGGCGCUAAUACCGCAUACGUCCUGAGGGAGAAAGUGGGGGAUCUUCGGAC